GACGGGGGGGGCAAGUGUUCUUCGGAAUCACUGGGCUUAAAGGGCGCGUAGGCGGGCUGCCGCGUCCGGGGUGAAAUCCCACGGCUCAACCGUGGAACGGCCCCGGGUACGGGCGGCCUCGAGGAAGGUAGGGGCGUGCGGAACUGUGGGUGGAGCGGUGAAAUGCGUUGAGAUCCACAGGAACUCCGGUGGCGAAGGCGGCACGCUGGACCUUUUCUGACGCUGAGGCGCGAAAGCCAGGGGAGCGAACAGG
rnacentral:rRNA from 1 species